rnacentral:rRNA from 1 species
UACGUAGGCAGCAAGCGUUGUUCGGAGUUACUGGGCGUAAAGGGUGCGUAGGCGGCUUUUUAAGUUUGGUGUGAAAUCUCCCGGCUCAACUGGGAGGGUGCGCCGAAUACUGAGAGGCUAGAGUGUGGGAGAGGAAAGUGGAAUUCCUGGUGUAGCGGUGAAAUGCGUAGAUAUCGUAAGGAAGACCAGUGGCGAAGGCGGGUCUCUGGACAGUUCCUGACGCUGAGGCACGAAGGCCAGGGGAGCAAACGGG